rnacentral:rRNA from 1 species
GUGCCAGCAGCCGCGGUAAUACGGGUGAGGCAAGCGUUGUUCGGAAUCAUUGGGCUUAAAGCGCGUGUAGGCGGCGGCGUAAGUACUUUGUGAAAUCCCUUCUCUCAAUGGAGGAAUUGCUUGGUAUACUGCGUUGCUUGAGGUAGGUAGGGGUGCUUGGAACUCUAGGUGGAGCGGUGAAAUGCGUAGAUAUCUAGAGGAACGCCAGUGGCGAAAGCGGAGCACUGGGCCUAUCCUGACGCUGAGACGCGAAAGCGUGGGUAGCAAACGGGAUUAGAUACCCCUGUAGUCC